AUACGGAGGGGGUUAGCGUUCUUCGGAAUUACUGGGCGUAAAGCGCACGUAGGCGGACUGGAAAGUUGGGGGUGAAAUCCCGGGGCUCAACCCCGGAACUGCCUCCAAAACUUCCAAUCUAGAGAUCGAGAGAGGUGAGUGGAAUUCCAAGUGUAGAGGUGAAAUUCGUAGAUAUUUGGAGGAACACCAGUGGCGAAGGCGGCUCACUGGCUCGAUACUGACGCUGAGGUGCGAAAGCGUGGGGAGCAAACAGGAUUAGAAACCCUAGUAGUCC
rnacentral:rRNA from 1 species